AUCCUAUUUGGGGUUCUUGGGCGUUUCAAUUUGUGGUGUGCGUGCGAAUAAGGUUCUUGUUCGAGGAGAUGCACUCUAUGUUUCUCUGAAUCCCUUACCCAUGCCUUUGUUUGAGAUAACAAAUGCGCAACUGUCCUUCCGAUAUUCGCUCACACUCAAAGCCCCAAUGCCAUAUGAGGCUAAAGGGUCUUCUUCCAUUUCCCUCUACAAGCUUAGAAAUGGAAAGUAUAAUAACUUGACUCUCAUUAAGGCUGUUGCCACCUUCGAACCAAACACCGUCGCUGCAACUGCAAAGCCUCACUUGGACUUUGUCCUUCAAUUCCCUGACCAUGAAGCGCAUCCACCUGAUGAAAGGGAGCAGUUGAGGAGACUGAGGAUUUCCAAAGCCAAUAAAGGCAACACGCCAUGGAACAAAGGAAGAAAGCACUCUCCUGAGACUUUGCAGAAAAUCAAAGAAAGAACCAGGCUCGCCAUGCAGAAUCCUAAGGUCAAAAUGAAGCUGAUUAACCUUGGGCAUUCACAAACUACAGAAACAAGAAAGAAGAUUGGCGAUGGAGUGAAAAGGCGAUGGGAAAAGAGGCGUGGAAAGAAGAUGGAGCAGGAAUCUUGCUGCUCUGAGUGGCAGAAUUUAAUUGCAGAAGCUUCUAGACAAGGCUAUGUUGGUCAGGAAGAGCUGCAGUGGAGUUCUUAUGAAACAAUGGAUGAACAGCUGAAGCAGGAGUGGUUGAUGAGUGUUGAACAAAGGAAACAAAUGACAAGGACACCAGGUAACAAAAGAUCACCCAAGUCCCCUGAACAGAGAAGGAAAAUUGCAGAAGCAAUCGCUGCCAAAUGGGCUGAUCCUGAAUACCGUGAAAGAGUUUGUUCUGCAUUGGCCAAGUAUCAUGGCACUGAAAUUGGAGCUGAAAGGAAACCUAGAAGGCGACCAAGUGAUGGUACCCAACCUAACAAGAAGAAACCUAUUAAAAAAAGAGAUACUGAUACUAGCGCUCAUGUUAUGAAUGGCUCAAAAACCCAUAAUCUUAUUCUGUUGAAAAAAAGGAAAUCCCCAGCCUAUAAGGAUCCUUUGGUGAAUUCUAAGCUUGAAAUGAUAAAGAAUAUUAGAGCACAGAGAGCUGCUGCAGAAACCACGCAAACUCAAGCCAUUGAACGGGCCAGACUAUUAAUUGCUGAAGCUGAGAAAGCUGCCAAGGCACUUGAAGUUGCUGCAACAAAGAGUCCUAUUGCACAGUCUUCUCUGAUAGAAACCAGAAAGCUAAUAGCUGAAGCUAUUCAAUCACUUGAAUCCAUUGAUACACAAGCUAUAACUGAUGGCAAUGUUCCUACGCUUGGUUUGAGUGAGGUCAAUAACGAAAAAGAAUCAGCAUUCGAAGUUCUAAACCAAUCACAAAUGACCCAAGUAAAUGGACACACAACAUUAUCAUCAAGUGACUACAAGUUCUCUGAAGAUUUUGGCAAAUUUUCCUUUGAGAAGCCAGUUAAUGGCGAUCCCGAACUAAAACUAACCAAUGGCUGUGCAUCCUUACCUUUUAGUUUGAAUAGUCAAAUUAACGAAUCUCGUCCAUCAAAUCAACAAAGGGAAGCAGAACAGGAUCAGAGAAGUGAAUACGAAACGGAUCCUUCUCCAACAGUGAUGGGAAUUGAGUCCCUUGAAAAUGAGACCGUGUUUAGAUCACCAUUAGUAACUAAAAAGUGGGUUCGCGGAAGGCUCGUUGAGGUGGCUGAAGAGAAGCAAUAAAAUGGGUAAUGCUUAGCCCAGUUUUCAAACAUUAAUACAAUGCAAUGUCAUAUUGUUUAUUGCAUGUUAUAUAGAUCAUAAGCACCGCGAAUAUUUUCUGUUUUAAUAGUGUGACAUUGCUUACUCACCCAUUCGUUCCUUGAAAUCAAGAGUGGAGUUGUAUCAGCCCCGCAACAGCCAACUACGUGUAGACAGAUCGAGGGAGAUUAAAAUAGCUAUCACUUAGGAAAGGGUGCACUUCUGCCACUGCAAAGAUUUGAGCCCCAGCAGUGGUCAUUUCCCCCUCAGCUGGGAGAUUCUGUUACACUCGGGAUCGCACCCAAAUUAUAAAGAGUAGGAUAGUGUUGGUUAAGGGUCGACGAAAUUUUCUUUUACAUUUUGUUUUUGUUCAAAUAUCUGGAUCUAUACUUUUUAAUUGGCUCUUCAAAUACUGUAUGACAAAAUUGACCAAACUUUUCUAGCUUU